rnacentral:rRNA from 1 species
AAACAACAGCCAAGGGAACGGGCUUGGCAGAAUCAGCGGGGAAAGAAGACCCUGUUGAGCUUGACUCUAGUCCGACUUUGUGAAAUGUCUUUGGAGGUGUAGCAUAAGUGGGAGAGCAAUCGACUUUGAAAUACCACUACUCUGAACGAUAUUUUACUUAUUUUGAUUGGGUAGAGAUGUGGAGCCGGGACUCGUUUUCUCGGUCUCUGCUGUUCUGGAGUUCAACACGGAAACGCACGUUCAGGGGGAAGCCCGGAACCCUUUGGUUUCGUAUAACGCACCCUCGCGGUGUCUCGCAGGUGUUUCGGGGCCUGGGAGGGGUUCGAGCGCAUCCUCUCUCCCUUCACGGGGAGCGGGGGGUGCGCCCGGGCUCUGACCUGGUCCUGCCCUGCGGGCGGGCCAGGGGGGGCCGGACCAACUUUCCCUUUUACCUCUGCUC